rnacentral:rRNA from 1 species
AGAGUUUGAUCCUGGCUCAGAACUAACGCUGGCGGCGUGGCUUAGGCAUGCAGGUCGAACGAUCCCCGCAAGGGGAGAGUGGCGUAAGGGUGAGUAACGCAUGGGUGAUCUACCCUCGGAACUGGGAUAACCCCGCGAAAGCGGGGCUAAUACCGGAUGAUAUCGAAGCGGCGCAUGUCGCUUCGAUCAAAGACGGCCUCUAUUUAUAAGCUGUCGUCUGUUGAUGAGCCCGUGUUCUAUCAGCUUGUUGGUGAGGUAAUGGCUCACCAAGGCAAUGACGGAUAGCCGGUCUGAGAGGAUGUACGGCCACACUGGGACUGAGACACUGCCCAGACUCCUACGGGAGGCUGCAGUCGAAAUCUUUUGCAAUGGGCGAAAGCCUGACAAAGCAACGCCGCGUGAGUGAUGAAGGUCUUCGGAUUGUAAAGCUCUGUCACCUGGGACGAAACCGUUCGGUGCUGACAUCGCCGGACAUUGACGGUACCAGGGGAGGAAGCCCCGGCUAACUUCGUGCCAGCAGCCGCGGUAAUACGAAGGGGGCAAGCGUUGUUCGGAAUCACUGGGCGUAAAGGGUGCGUGGGUGGUUAUGUAAGUCGGAUGUGAAAUCCCCUGGCUUAACCAGGGAUCUGCAUUCGAAACUGCAUAGCUUGAGUACGGGGGAAGAGAGUGGAAUUCUCAGUGUAGCGGUGAAAUGCGUAGAUAUUGAGAAGAACACCUGUGGCGAAAGCGGCUCUCUACCUUGAUACUGACACUGAGGCACGAAAGCUAGGGUAGCAAACGGGAUUAGAUACCCCGGUAGUCCUAGCCGUAAACGAUGUACACUGGGUGUAGGAGGUAUCAACCCCUCCUGUGCCGAAGCUAACGCAUUAAGUGUACCGCCUGGGGAGUACGGCCGCAAGGCUAAAACUCAAAGGAAUUGACGGGGGCCCGCACAAGCGGUGGAGCAUGUGGUUUAAUUCGACGCAACCCGUAGAACCUUACCAGGGCUUGACAUGUACAUGAAAUCCUUGUGAAAGCAGGGACCUCCUUCGGGACAUGUACACAGGUGUUGCAUGGCUGUCGUCAGCUCGUGUCGUGAGAUGUUGGGUUAAGUCCCGCAACGAGCGCAACCCUUUUCCAUAGUUACCAUCAUUCAGUUGGGGACUCUAUGGAUACUGCCUCGGUUAACGAGGAGGAAGGUGAGGAUGACGUCAAGUCAUUAUGGCU